CCUAAAUAUGCUCCAAUUUUUUAAAUUUCCUCUUCUGUGGUGCAAGUCUGGCUUUUUCCACAGGGCCUGCAUAGACUGGGGAGGGCAGAGCUGUGCAAGAUGUUCUGAACCAAAUGCCUUGGACAUAUCUGCAUUUAUUGGAUAAUUCAUUAAUUUAAAAUGCAUCCAGUCAUCUAUCAAGUACCUACCAUACCAAGGCAUGACUGCCUUACACCUUCUGGAAGAUGCGCUGAUGUGAAAACCUGCAGGAUCCCAUGGCUGCAACCUGUCAGUGCUUGGAUUUAAGUCAGCUGCAGGUUAUUCCCUUGAGAAUUAGCACAAGAAUGACUUGACUUAUGUAUUUUCAAUGGAUGCAAAUGUCAACCUUAUCACCGAGGAAGACAUAUGGUACCCAGUUCUGAAAGCUGAAUUCCCUUUCAUAAUGAAUUCAAAUCUCCUGCUGCGAUCGGAACUCCGUGCAGGG